UUAAAUUGAAGAGUUUGAUCAUGGCUCAGAUUGAACGCUGGCGGCAGGCCUAACACAUGCAAGUCGAACGGUAACAGGAAGCAGCUUGCUGCUUCGCUGACGAGUGGCGGACGGGUGUGUAAA
rnacentral:rRNA from 1 species